rnacentral:rRNA from 1 species
UGGGUAACCUGCCUCAAAGAGGGGAAUAGCCUCCCGAAAGGGGAGAUUAAUACCGCAUAAUAUGUUUAGGUCGCAUGACUUUAACAUCAAAGGAUUUUCUUUUAGAACUUCCACUUUGAGAUGGACCCCGCGGUGCAUUAGCUAGUUGGUGAGGUAACGGCUCACCAAGGCAACGAUGCGUAGCCGACCUGAGAGGGUGAUCGGCCACAUUGGAACUGAGACACGGUCCAGACCUCCGUAGGGAGG